UACGUAGGGGGCGAGCGUUACCCGGAUUCAUUGGGCGUAAAGCGCGUGUAGGCGGCCUGCUAAGUCUGAUGUGAAAGCCCGAGGCUCACCCUCGGAAGUGCAUUGGAAACUGGCAGACUGGAGUCCCGGAGAGGAGGGUGGAAUUCCUGGUGUAGCGGUGAAAUGCGUAGAUAUCAGGAGGAACACCGGUGGCGAAGGCGGCCCUCUGGACGGUGACUGACGCUGAGACGCGAAAGCGUGGGGAGCAAACAGG
rnacentral:rRNA from 1 species